AUUUUGGACAAUGGGCGCAAGCCUGAUCCAGCCAUGCCGCGUGGGUGAAGAAGGCCUUCGGGUUGUAAAGCCCUUUCGGCUGGGACGAAAAGGUUCGGGUUAAUAACCCGGAUCCAUGACGGUACCAGCAGAAGGAGCACCGGCUAACUACGUGCCAGCAGCCGCGGUAAUACGUAGGUGACUAGCGUUGUCCGGAUUUACUGGGCGUAAAGAGCGCGCAGGCGGUCGUUCAAGUCGAGUGUGAAAGCCCCCGGCUCAACUGGGGAGGGUCAUUCGAUACUGAUCGACUCGAAGGCAGGAGAGGGAAGUGGAAUUCCCGGUGUAGUGGUGAAAUGCGUAGAUAUCGGGAGGAACACCAGUGGCGAAGGCGACUUCCUGGCCUGUUCUUGACGCUGAGGCGCGAAAGCUAGGGGAGCAAAC
rnacentral:rRNA from 1 species